UACAUGGGGUGCAAACGUUGCUCGGAAUUAUUGGGCGUAAAGCGCACGUAGACGGCUAUCUAAGUCGGGUGUGAAAGCCCCGGGCUCAACCUGGGAACUGCAUCCGAUACUGGAUGGCUUGAAUUCGGGAGAGGGAUGCAGAAUUCCAGGUGUAGCGGUGAAAUGCGUAGAUAUCUGGAGGAAUACCGGUGGCGAAGGCGGCAUCCUGGACCGACAUUGACGCUAAGGAGCGAAAGCCAGGGGAGCAAACGGG
rnacentral:rRNA from 1 species